rnacentral:rRNA from 1 species
AACGAACGCUGGCGGCAUGCCUAACACAUGCAAGUCGAACGAGCCCUUCGGGUCUAGUGGCGCACGGGUGCGUAACGCGUGGGAACCUGCCCUUAGGUUCGGAAUAACUCCCCGACAGGGGUGCUAAUACCGGAUAAUGUCUUCUGACCAAAGAUUUAUCGCCUUUGGAUGUGCCCGCGUUGGAUUAGCUAGUUGUUAGGGUAAAAGCCUACCAAGGCGACGAUCCAUAGCUGGUUUGAGAGGAUGAUCAGCCACACUGGGACUGAGACACGGCCGGGACUCCUACGGGAGGGAGCAGUGGGGAAUAUUGGAAAGUGGGCGAAAGGCUGAUGCAGCAAUGCCGCGUGAGUGAUGAAAGCAUUAGGGUUGUAAAGCGUUUUUAACCGGGAUGAUAAUGACGGUACCGAGAGAGUAAGCUCCGGCUAACUCCGUG